rnacentral:rRNA from 1 species
UACGUAGGGGGCAAGCGUUGUCCGGAUUUAUUGGGCGUAAAGAGCGUGUAGGCGGCUAGGUAGGUCCGUUGUGAAAACUCGAGCUCAACCUCGAGACGCCGGUGGAAACCAUCUAGCUAGAGUCCGGAAGAGGAGAGUCGUAGUACUCGGUGUAGCGGUGGAAUGCGCAGAUAUCAGGAGAACACCGGUGGCGAAGGCGGGCUCUGGCGUA